rnacentral:lncRNA from 1 species
CUAUUGUAGUCAAAGGAGAAGUCAAAUGAAGAAGGCGAAAUAACUCCAAGGGAACAAACUUUCUUUACGAAAGGAUGGACAUUGGAAGGGGUAUUUGCAAGAAAUGUCUUGCAAAUGUCAAGAACACACCUUUCGAAGGUGUUGUAAAUUGUUCUUGAAUAGUUCAAAACAGUUGGUUCUUCCACUUGAAUGCUUGAUUCCGUAUUAGUAACUAUGUUUUACAAUCGUUGUAAAAGUGUGGCUAAUAAGAAGUAGAAGAUUAAUGAGAGAAGAGAAAGUACUUCACAUUCGGAACGUGAAUCAAAUGUAGAUCUCUGCGAAAGCAAGUAGUACUUACUUCCUCAUAUGAACUACCAAAGAAAAUGGAAAAACAAAGAUUGUCCUUACAUUCCAAUUUGAAUAAAGGAACUUAAUUCCGUAUGAGAAAUGGAUGAAUGUUUUGUUUGACAAAACAUUGUUCUUUAUUAAUGAAUGAUUAGAUUAUUGUAAUCUAAUUGAUUAUCUCUAUAGUAGAGAUGAUAUGGUAGUGUCAACUGUUUAGAAUAUAACGAUGCUUAAAACCCAAAAGAUUGUAAGGUAGUGACUAAUCCCAACUGAGAUGUGAUACCUCUAAAACAGAAAUUAUGAGUUCGUCAUAGAUGGAUGCCUUGGAUCAUUAGAUCCGGAUCCAAUGCCUUCUUGUUAAAAUUGUAUAGAGGCAAAAUGUUUGAAUCUUUAUUCUUUUGGAAAGGAAGAAAGAAUCACAAAGUUGUUGAGGUUAAUUCACUUAGAUGUUAGUGGCACUUGUCCACAACAUAAUACUACUCAUGUUGUAUGACAUUCACCGAAGAUCGCUCUCGAUUGUCUAUCGUUUAUUUUGAAUAAACACAAGUCCGAAUAUUUUGCAAAAGGUUUCAAAGAAUUCAAGAAUGUAA